UUGCCUAAGGAAAAUAUGAAUUGUACAGAUUUCUACAGUAGACUUUUUUCUCCCCCUUGCUUUACAGGUGUUUCAUCUUUUCGGUAAAAGCCAUCAGUUCUCUUCAGGGAAUUCCAGCGAGCUGAGUAUACCACAAAACGCCCAGGAAGACCCUGAUGCCAUCAGGUCUGGAAUGGGUACUGCCAUCAUAGUACUUGAAUGCUCAGGUGCUCUGUCUCAGAUGUUCCCAAGUCCACAAAGGAAAAGCACCUACCUUCCCGAUCCUUCUGGCCAUGGAAGCAGAUCUGGGCACAAGAUCUUCUGAAGUUUUAUCUUCUGGUUUCUGAGACUGCUACAGACUGCUUAAGACAAGAUCUUGCCCAGGAUGACUUUACAACAAAGGAAUUCUUUAUAAAUGCUUCAGAGUGCCUAACAUACUCAGCCUUCCGCUGGAGCCUCUGA
rnacentral:lncRNA from 1 species